rnacentral:lncRNA from 1 species
GACGGCGUGCCACCGCCGGCCCUGUAGAGGAAGUAGUCGUACAUGUCGCAGGGGUACACGCGGCGCGGAACGGCGACGGGGUAGGCCAUCUGGAAGAGCACAGCAUCGCGGUGCGCAGCCACGACGUCGAAGCGGUCGUAUUCCCCCGUGCCGGUCGGCCAUGACUGGUAGAGGCGGGACGGCCGCGGCGGGUCGUGGAGCUCGAAGCAGACGCGGAUCUUGUCGCCCCUGGAGUUGG